UCAGAUUGAACGCUGGCGGCAGUCUUAACACAUGCAAGUCGAACGAUGAUUUCCCAGCUUGCUGGGAAUGAUUAGUGGCGGACGGGUGAGUAACAUUUAGGAAUCUGCCUAGUAGUGGGGGAUAGCUCGGGGAAACUCGAAUUAAUACCGCAUACGACCUACGGGUGAAAGGGGGCGCAAGCUCUUGCUAUUAGAUGAGCCUAAAUCAGAUUAGCUAGUUGGUGGGGUAAAGGCCCACCAAGGCGACGAUCUGUAACUGGUCUGAGAGGAUGAUCAGUCACACCGGAACUGAGACACGGUCCGGACUCCUACGGGAGGCAGCAGUGGGGAAUAUUGGACAAUGGGGGCAACCCUGAUCCAGCCAUGCCGCGUGUGUGAAGAAGGCCUUUUGGUUGUAAAGCACUUUAAGCAGGGAGGAGAGGCUAAUGGUUAAUACCCAUUAGAUUAGACGUUACCUGCAGAAUAAGCACCGGCUAACUCUGUGCCAGCAGCCGCGGUAAUACAGAGGGUGCGAGCGUUAAUCGGAAUUACUGGGCGUAAAGCGAGUGUAGGUGGCUCAUUAAGUCACAUGUGAAAUCCCCGGGCUUAACCUGGGAACUGCAUGUGAUACUGGUGGUGCUAGAAUAUGUGAGAGGGAAGUAGAAUUCCAGGUGUAGCGGUGAAAUGCGUAGAGAUCUGGAGGAAUACCGAUGGCGAAGGCAGCUUCCUGGCAUAAUAUUGACACUGAGAUUCGAAAGCGUGGGUAGCAAACAGGAUUAGAUACCCUGGUAGUCCACGCCGUAAACGAUGUCUACUAGCCGUUGGGGUCCUUGAGACUUUAGUGGCGCAGUUAACGCGAUAAGUAGACCGCCUGGAGACCCCCACUUGG
rnacentral:rRNA from 2 species